GAUGAAGAACGCAGCGAAAUGCGAUAAGUAAUGUGAAUUGCAGAAUUCAGUGAAUCAUCGAAUCUUUGAACGCACAUUGCGCCCGGUACUAUUCUGCCGGGCAUGCCUGUUCGAGCGUCAUUUCAACCAUCAAGCCCCAGCGCUUGUGUUGGGGGCCUGCGGCUGCCGCAGCCCCCUAAAAGCAGUGGCGGGCUCGCUAUCACACCGAGUGCAGUAGUUCAUCUUCUCUCCGGUCUUGUGAGGCGGGUUCCGGCCGUGAAACACCCCACUACAUUCAAGGUUGACCUCGGAUCAGGUAGGAAUACCCGCUGAACUUAAGCAUAUCAAUAAGCGGAGGA
rnacentral:misc_RNA from 1 species